GACGGAGGAUGCAAGUGUUAUCCGGAAUCACUGGGCGUAAAGCGUCUGUAGGUGGCUUUGUAAGUCUGUUGUUAAAUCUUGAGGCUCAACUUCAAAUCAGCAAUGGAAACUACAAGACUUGAGUAUGGUAGAGGUAAGAGGAAUUUCCAGUGGAGCGGUGAAAUGCGUAGAGAUUGGAAAGAACACCGAUGGCGAAGGCAUCUUACUGGGCCAUUACUGACACUCAGAGACGAAAGCUAGGGUAGCAAAUGGGAUUAGAUACCCCAGUAGUCCUAGCAGUAAACGAUGGAUACUAGACGUUGCGUGUUUGCCACAGUGUCAAAGCUAACGCGUUAAGUAUCCCGCCUGGGGAGUAUGCUCGCAAGAGUG
rnacentral:rRNA from 1 species